rfam:Desulfuribacillus alkaliarsenatis strain AHT28 DSM-24608_Contig_0_85X, whole genome shotgun sequence.
GCCGCUGUAGCUCAAUUGGUAGAGCAACUGACUUGUAAUCAGUAGGUUGGGGGUUCAAGUCCUCUCGGCGGCA